rnacentral:rRNA from 1 species
AGCAGCCGCGGUAAUUCCAGCUCCAAUAGCGUAUAUUAAAGUUGUUGCAGUUAAAAAGCUCGUAGUUGAAUUUCGGGAUCAAUACGUCGGUCGUGCUUCGGUACGUACUGGCGUCAUUGGUUUCUCCCUUCUGACGAACCAUGAUGUCAUUAACUUGGUGUCAUGGGAAAUCAGGACUGUUACUUUGAAAAAAUUAGAGUGUUUAAAGCAAGCUAACGCUUGAAUACAUUAGCAUGGAAUAAUGAAAUAGGACGUUCGAUCCUAUUUUGUUGGUUUCUAGGAUUGACGUAAUGAUUAAUAGGGAUAGUUGGGGGCAUUUAGUAUUCAAUUGUCAGAGGUUGAAAUUCUUGGGAUUUUUAUUGAAGACUAACUACUGCGAAAAGCAUUUUUAGCCAAGGGUAUGUUUUUACAUUAAUCAAG